rnacentral:rRNA from 1 species
AUUGAACGCUGGCGGCAGGCCUAACACAUGCAAGUCGAGCGGAGCGGCGGACGGGUGAGUAAUGUCUAGGAAUCUGCCUGGUAGUGGGGGAUAACGUCCGGUACCGGGCGCUAAUACCGCUUACUAUCAGCUGAACCUAGGUGGGAUUAGCUAGUUGGUGGGGUAAAGGCCUACCAAGGCGACGAUCCGUAACUGGUCUGAGAGGAUGAUGAGCCACACUGGAACUGAGACACGGUCCAGACUCCUACGGGAGGCAGCAGUGGGGAAUAUUGGACAAUGGGCGAAAGCCUGAUCCAGACAUGCCGCGUGUGUGAAGAAGGUCUUCGGAUUGUAAAGCACUUUAAGUUGGGAGGCGUUACCAACAGAAUAAGCACCGGCUAACUUCGUGCCAGCAGCCGCGGUAAUUC